CCUCCUUGCCCAUCAUAGCUCUUCUCUUUCUUGGACGACGACGACGAAGAAGAAUAACGUCUACCCAUCGCUGAUCUGGUUUAGUUAUUCAGUUUAUCUGGUUUUGUAAUUUUUUUUUUUUUUUAAUAUCUUAAUGCUGCUAUAUAUACUCUAAUUCUCAGGCCAGAUAUGUGAUGCAUGUCUUGUUGUUUUCAAUCGAUUAUGCCUUAUGUCUUGCAUGUACUAACUCCUCGGCUAAGAAGCUCAACAGAUUUGCCAGAUGCAUACAUUUCACGGUCUUGCAGUCUCUCCUGGAAAUCUUGUGAUUGCUAUGGUUCGCAACUUUGAUCAAGAUUUAUUAGAUCCAAUGUACCAGCAAAGGACUCAAAAGGCUGCUGUUGAUUUCUUUUGGAUUGGUGCACAACAAGUAAAUCCUUUGGUCUUUGAAACAGUACGAAAAUCAGAAGAAGCCUAUGGUUGUUUGGGAUAUUGUAGCAGCAUUAUUGGCUGAGCACGUACUGGUCCAGUGGCUCUCAAUUUCAUAUGUUGGAUCUCAAUUUGAAAUGGGACUCUCUGCCGAAAAGAUUUUUCCACAUGUUUCAAAAAGUUUAUCAAAGCUUACUUCUCGCUAGUGGCACCUCCUGGAUAUUAUCUGUAUAAGGGUAAUAUUAUCAGAGCUGAAGCCUGAGCAAAUAAACAGCAAAGAGCAGAAUUUGCAAGGACUAGACUUUACUGAAGAAGAAAAAUUGUUGAAGUGGAUUCAGUUGCUUUUGAGCAGUGAAAGAGAACUCCGUGAGAGGCUUGUAGGCCUUAGUUUUUCCGCUUUUACUAGUCUGAGUCUGAGGUCCCAUUCAACUGCAGUUUCUUCUCAACCAGGAGAUUGGUUUCCCGUUGGAUUAGCACAAAUGGAGCAGUGGGUUUCACUCAAUCGUGAUGUUGUACGGGACCAGUUAAGGGUCCUUGCAAUAGAGGUUGGAAAGCAGAAGGAGAGGUACAGUUUACAAUUCCUAUGCAGUAAUAAUUCCUUUGCCAUCUUUAUUUUGAAAUCAUUUACCCCUCCUGAUUAUGUCAAUAGGCUAUUCCUAAAUAAAAAAUCGCUUUCAAACUGUUUAAUUUGAUGCUUGUUUGCUUGUCUUUAACUUAGCAUGAGAGUUUGUCAUUCACCUUUUCGGUUUUUCCCCUACUCCUUUCGUAACUGUUUGCUGGUUCUUAUAAGUACCUACAGCAAUUGGCAUUUAUAAAAUGCUCUAUUUGUUGUAGAUGAUGAAAAUGACUAGUAGUACUAGAUGUACAACUCUCUCUCUCUCCAGUCUCUGCAGUAAAAUUGAUCUAUGCUUAUUAUGUCGUAAUAACUUUUUUCUUUGUUUGGUUGGGGAAGGAACAGGCUGCAAUCAAGUGGAAAUGCAUCAACAAAGAAGUGUAGCUAUUGUUCAUCCUCGGUUCCAUUUGAAUCUUCAGAAGUUGCAAUU